CAGUAGCCGCGGUAAUACGGAGGGUGCAAGCGUUAAUCGGAAUUACUGGGCGUAAAGCGCACGCAGGCGGUCUGUCAAGUCAGAUGUGAAAUCCCCGGGCUUAACCUGGGAACUGCAUUUGAAACUGGCAGGCUAGAGUCUUGUAGAGGGGGGUAGAAUUCCAGGUGUAGCGGUGAAGUGCGUAGAGAUCUGGAGGAAUACCGGUGGCGAAGGCGGCCCCCUGGACAAAGACUGACGCUCAGGUGCGAAAGCGUGGGGAGCAAACAGGAUUAGAUACCCCGGUAGUCCCUGUCUCUUAUAC
rnacentral:rRNA from 1 species